GGUGCUUGCUUUGGCACCACACAUAACUGGAAUGAUACAGAAAAGAUUAUCAUGGCCCCUGAGUAAGGAUGACACACCCAUUCACGAAGAAUACCCUUUUUUU
ensembl:snRNA U6 U6 spliceosomal RNA